rnacentral:tRNA from 1 species
GGAUUCGUGGUCUAGUGGCAUGACGUUGCCUUCACACGGCGAAGAUCGGGUGUUCGAAUCACCCCGGAUCCA